rnacentral:rRNA from 1 species
AUUGAACGCUGGCGGCAGGCCUAACACAUGCAAGUCGAACGAGUGGCGGACGGGUGAGUCAUGUCUGGGAAACUGCCUGAUGGAGGGUGAUAACUACUGGAAACGGUAGCUACUACCUCAUACCAUCAGAUGUGCCCCGAUGGGAUUAGCUUGUUGGUGGGGUAACGGCUCACGAAGGCGACGAUCCCUAGCUGGUCUGAGAGGAUGACCAGCCACACGGGAACUGAGACACGGUCCAGACUCCUACGUGAGGCAGAAGUGGGGAAUAUUGCAAGAUGGGCGCAAUAUUGAUGAAGCGAUGCAGGGUGGAUGAAGAAGGCCUGCGGGUUGGAAAGUACUUUCAGCGGGGAGGCGUUACCCGCAGAAGAAGCACCGGCUAACUCCGUGCCAGCAGCCGCGGUAAUAC